rnacentral:rRNA from 1 species
UACGGGGGGGGCAAGCGUUGUUCGGAAUUACUGGGCGUAAAGGGCUCGUAGGCGGCCAACUAAGUCAGACGUGAAAUCCCUCGGCUUAACCGGGGAACUGCGUCUGAUACUGGAUGGCUUGAGUUUGGGAGAGGGAGUGCGGAAUUCCAGGUGUAGCGGUGAAAUGCGUAGAUAUCUGGAGGAACACCGGUGGCGAAGGCGGCAUCCUGGACCGAGAUUGACGCUGAGGCGCGAAAGCCAGGGGGAGCAAAC